AAAAAAAAAAGGAAACAUGCCUAUUUGUAUGACACUUUUUUUCUUUAUUUAGUUAAGCUUGCCGGAGUAUUUCCUUUAGGUACCUUUAACAAAAGCACUUGAAUAUUUCAGGAUUCCUUUUUGGGCUGCUGAGCUAAAGAUUCCAGCUCACUGAGCUGUAUGCUCAGAGGGCCUGGGAUACUUUAUAUGUCAUGUUUUCAUGCUCUGGACUGCUGCCCAGACAACAUCUCCCAAGAGCAGGCCACUGCCAUGAGAAACAGAGCUGAGCUGGCUUAAUGCAAGCACGUUAAGAAUGACCAUGCUGGUCAGAGUGAAGGUACAAGCAUCAUCACGCUUGGUCUCCAGCAACCAUCAUCAGUGGAUAUUUAAGGAGAGAAUAUAGGGAAUGGGAUAUUUCCCAGGUGCCAGUCAUAAGCGGUUCAAUGACUUCUUGAGGCAGAAGUUGUAGCUGGAUUGUCAUGUUUAGUACUCAGUAUGGAGCUGUCCUCUGCAAAUUGCUUCUUGAAUCCAUGUUCCCUUUGGUGAUCAAGCACUGGGCUCUCCUGUUUAUUUUGGAAAGGGUACGAACGUAUGGCACCCAAAGCUGCAGUUCCAGCAGGCAAACAGCAGCCUGAAGUCAUGCAACUUAACGCUGACAUGACAUGAAAUACUUCGGAUUUAGUUCAAGAAAAUGCUGACUUUUCAUUUAAGGGGAAUGAAAAGAAAUUGGAAUGAUUUAGGCAAAAUCCCCUUUUUGCCCCCAAGGACUUUUUUUUUUAUUAUUAUUUAUUUUUUUUCAGCUGAGAUUGUUCUUUCUGUGGAUGGAAAAUUCCCAACCUGCUUGAGUUGGCAAGCUCUUGUUUUUAGCUAAAGCAUAUGCUGAUGUAUGUUUGUAUCUUCCUCCAACAAAAAGCUGUGGAUAAAUAAAGAGCUGAAGGCAGCAUGCAGUUCCCUUCCCCAUUCCAACAGUCUUCAUGUUGCCAGCGGGUGGGAUGGAAAAAUGUCGACUACGGUUCAGUCUGCAGGAAUGACAGCAAAAUCAUACUAAUUUUAAAGCAUAAAAUAUAAUUCCAACUCUAUCACCUGCCCUACAGGAGACUUCACUGUAAAUGCAGGAAGAUACUGAAAAGUUGAUCUCCAGCACCCAUUGCCUGAGAGAUGACAAAUGAGAAGAUGGAACAACCUGCCUUUAUUUCAAUAGGAGGACUAUUAAACUUCCAAGAGCAAAGUUUGUAGGCUCAUCAUGCUAGAUUAUAAAGAUUAUCUAAUAAUUCUGUAUGGAAAAUAGAGUUCUUAAAGGCUUUUGCCUCUCCCUAGCUUGUAACGCUUUGCCUUAUUACCCUCGAGCAAAGGCAAGAAAUGCUUAAGCUGAUUUUUCACUGACAUUCUGCACGCUACUGCUGGCUGCUCUGCUCAAUCUUAGCAGCUGCGAGAGGCUGGCGAGUCUGUGGGAAAGGUGUCUGCGUGUUCUUGGACACAUCAAGCUUGCUCCUAGUACUUGACGAAUGAUUUCGCAGCUGUGGCAGCAGCUCCGUUUUGCAGAGCUGGCCAUUUUAGAUUUCGUUUUAAGCGUGUUUUAACUUUUCUGUCCUGAAGUUUCCCUCUGAGGUUUAUCUGCCAGAAGUCCGCUUUAUUUCAGAGUGAAAGUUCUGAGGUUAAUUGAACAGGGCACUCCGGAGAUGAGGGAUUGAAGUCCAUGAGACCUUGCAGAUUUCAUAAAAUGCACUGAUACAUCUUUAGCAGGCAUUUCUCAGGUCAAUUCAUGGAGGUUACACUCUUCAAAACCAACGAAACCCAGUGUUUCCCUGGACUGUAAUGAGCUACACUAAGCAGUUGUGCAUCUACUCCCAGAUCUGGCAAGUCAGGGUUUGAGCUCCUGACAGGGAAGCUUUACGUUACGUUAUCAGCUGAAAUUUGAGUCCUUUUCAUAAACCCACUACUUUUUCUCCAAAGCCAAUUUACAAAUGCACUUAGUAAAUAAGAGUUGAGAAAGUGGCUUUAACUUGAUUACAGGCUUUUCCUCCUCUGCUUUGUUCCCUUGCAGCAAAUGACUCUGAUGAAUGGCAAGUCCUGUCAGCCUGUAACUGGCCUCAGCCAACUCCGAGCCAGUGGGGGCAGUGGGAAGAAAGGAGGAAGAAACAAUUAUGUAGGACUCCAUUAACAUCUGAAUAUUUCACAGCAAACAGUUUUUGGAGUAUUCAGUGCUUCAAGGCUGCUAUGUGGUGUUCAGCAAGUUUCCAUCUCUCGGGCAGAUGGAGGUGAUUUUUCCACCCUUCUUGUCCCAGAGUUGCCUGCUCGGUCAGUGCUGCGAUUUCAUCCCCUGUAGUGUUUCAACACUUGCCCCGCCACGCUGCUGAACCCAACCUCUUCCUACCACGAGAGCGCAGGAGGUGGGUUCUCGUCUGUGUGGCAGUGCUGUGUGUUUCUGCUAAACCCAGAGGCUGUUUUGCACCAACUGGUGAAAUAGUCCAGGGAGAUCACGUCUACAGGGGGGCUGUGACAUCAUCCUUGCACUGAGAUGGCAUCAUCAGCUCUGCUGCUAUAAGGUAGUGGAUGGCCUUGUCACUCCUGUACAGCUGUCUGUGAGGGAGGGACUGGGGUGAUGCAGAAUUUUUGCCUACUCGAUAAAUGUAGAUUGUAAUGAUAAGUGUAUUCAUUGCCCCAUUCAUCUGACAGCUGUGUGUUUACUGGGUAAAAAACCUGUAUAUACUGAUGCAUUUCUCAAGGAACUCUAAUCCCUCAGCACCGAGGAAAGUAAACCACCACACAGACGAUGGUAGACCAUUCCUUUUGGAUCAGAUGGUCACUUCCCGUUUCCUUGGCUUCUGAGCUUCUUAGGAAGAUGCAUCGUUGCACUGACAGUGAACUGAAGUUAUGAAAACUGUGUCCCAAAGAUGUUUUUCCCAAUACCGUCUGGUUUGCAUUCUGAGGUUUCCAAAUCUUCUCCUCCCCAGCACCACGGGAUCCAUCCGUACACAAAGGUUGCUCGAGUGGCCUGCUGCUGCUUCGCUGAGCAUCCCAACAACUCCAGUGGUUGCCUCGGUGGCACAACAGACACUGCAGGUCUCAGCUGGACACUGUUUGGAUUGGAAAGCCCCUUCCAUUGAAGACUCCUCAUGGGGCUUGAAACCUCCCUGUGUUUUCAGGCAGCCUGCUGAAGGGCAAUCCCAUCUGUUGGGGCUGAUACACAGACACUCUCCAAAUCGAUGUGAUAAUACCGUAACACCGUAUGGAGGCAGCGAGGACGUUGCACAUUUCUUGGGGGGUACCGACCAAACAUCCUUCUAGAGGGGGGCCUCACUUGGCCAAAACUGCAGAAACCCAGAAACUUGACGUGGUUUGAUGCAGUCCAGGCCCUCCUGAUUUCCUACACAACUGGUAAAGCCGUAUGUAGCCGGAAGUUCUUAAUGAGCAACCAGGAGGGAUUAGAGAGCCUGGAGCAGUUUGUGCAAAGCAUUUGGACUUAAAUCUGAUCCCGUGUCACACUUUCUAAAACUCUUAGCGGCGUCCUGGUGUGCUAGGUUUUUUCAGCCUAGGAAGCAGGGCUCGAUAUGGGAACCCCACCCCUAAAUCAAAUUUCUCCCGCUGUUCUGGGCUGAGUAGGUGACUUUGACAGCAUAAGGUGCUGCCAGCACGGGAAGCUUGUGUGUUGUUCCCCUUCUCAUGGGAAUAUUUUGACUAUGUGGAUCAGUAGGAUGUCCUCUGAAGGACAAAGGAGACAAGCUGCUGGCAAACAGGACACUGUGUUUGAUGGAUCAUGGAGCUGAUGGACCAUGGCAAGCCUUAAACGGGGGAUGCAGCCAGCAGUGCCCACUUUCAGACAAAAGUUGAUUGAAUCCUCCUUUCCCUGAGCCAAUCCUCAAGUCUUCUCAUUGCCAGCAGCAUUUUCACAAAGAGCUUCCACAGCUCCAGACCCUUCUCCUUUCUUCUGCUCAGCUGUACGCCUAACAAACGUUCGUUUUUUUUUUUCCUUAAUCCAAACAUCUCUAUCUUUUACAACUAUAAACAACAUUAACUCCGCAAGCAAUCUUGAAGAACAAAGGCUUUUAGAUAAGAUUAGCUUGCAGCAGAGAUAUUUGUAAGGUUUUUUUUUCCCCCUUCCCUCCUGCUUAUGAAUUUCACCCGUUGGCAGGCAGGUUGGGGAUUGUUAUAUAACAGCUCAGCUACAUAUAAUUAGAGGACACGAAAUUAUAUAGGAAACAGACAUAUUACUCAGUGUGGAUACUACAAGCUUACCUGAGUUUCAAAAGCACAUGGGCGAGCUUGUGAAGAAGAAAAACAUUAAUGACAAGUGACUGUAAAUAUAUGGAAUGUGAAGGUACCAUGUCUGGCUCAGAAAGUCCUUCAGCUGUAGAUCAGAGGUCUGUGAGAGUAUUGUGGGGAAAGAGCUGCUGUUAGAGACAAGAAAGCUGGACUAGGAUGAUCUUUGCUUGAUUUGCUGUUGUUGCUUUUAUGUUCUCAGUUCAGUUCACUGAGUGAUGAGCAAUACCUGCCUACCCACAGCAAGGAGCAGAUGAGGACCUCACAGAGCUUUUCAAACUAACUACUCUUUAUAAAAAUGCUGGCUUUCAGGGCCAUUUAUUAUAAGCAGAACACUAAGGCAUAAGGAAGCUAAGUGCAGUAAUUACAUUUGUAUGGGUCUUUCCUGUUGGCUGUACCCACUAGAUUUUUAUUCAUACAAUGGAGUCAUUUUUGUGUGGUUUUCUGCUUAUCAAUUUCUGUUCUAAAAAUGAUUAGCGCUUGAGUCAUGCUUACCCUCAAAAACUCUUAGUACUCUCUGUGUUUGAAGGUGCUCCUGAAAGCAAACCAAUCUCCUCCUGGGACUUGGAUUUCUGUUGUGACGCACUUCACUUGUAAAAGAGAAGCAGCAAUAUGUUUAUUGAUACCAAACAGUGAUUUGACAAAGUUGGAUAGUAAACAUGACAAUGGUUUAACA